rnacentral:lncRNA from 1 species
ACUCUCUUUCUUUUAAGAUCGAUAUUUUUUCUUAACAUUCAUCUUUUUCAUUCAUUUCUCUUAUUUUCAUUACAUUGCACUCUCUUCAUACAUAUAGGUGAUAUCCUCUAACUACUCUUACUAACUCUCAUCAUUACUACACCUCAACUCUAGGACUUUAGACUCUCUUACACAACUGUUCUAACUUAGACUUCUAACAACUCUCAUUACUACUUUAGCUACUCAUUCUUAGAAUUAAUGAUAACAAGUCCUACACUUACACACAAACUCUUAUUCCUGUGUUCUUUUGGGCUUGUGCAGAUCCGCAGGCCCAUUGACUAACCUUAGCAGCCCAACUUCUUCCUUUGACUAAUCUUCAAUUUGACUUUUCUCUUCUCCUUCUUCCUUUCCAAAAACACGAUCAGCUCCUUCUUCAAUUCUUCUUCUGAUUGCUUGUUGCUGGUUGAUGCUUCUUGUCUUUUUUUUUUUUUGCAGACAUACUCAAAGGAUCAACACUCAACACUCCCUCUUGAGCCUUUAAUAGUUUCCUUGAUUCCAACUUAGGGUUUUGUAGCUCGAUGUCUUUGGUUCUUCUCUCUUCAUCACCUUGGUCUUCAGAACAUCAGCAUAGCUUCUGGGUAAGUUUACUUUCUCAAUUUCUUCCUUGUUCUGUGUUUUUCCGCACUCAAUUUCUUCUUUUCUUUUCAAUUUCGUUUUUCUCUCUUGAACCAUUUUCUCGUCAACUUCAAUUGAUUUUUGCUUCUCUUCUUUCUGCAGGUUCUUAACUGUGGAGGCUCUGCUCCCUCCGUCCUUCUGCAUUUCACGUCCAGGUAAUUUCUUUACCUCUUCCUUGUUUGAGCCUUGAAUCUUCUGUUUCUCGUUGGUGCUGUUCUUGUUGGUGGAUUUCAAGCUUGGAUAGUUGAAUCCAAUGCUGUCAAUUUCUUGGAUCAACUUCUCUUUCCAUGGUGUCUUCUCAUUACCCUUGUUGAAUCUUCCUUGAGCCAUUUUUGCAUUUCUGCCGAUGAUUCCAUCAAUCAGCUUCUUCUCCUUCUCCUUCAGAGAUAAGUUUUCCUUAUGUUGAUUUGUAUCACUCUUGAUCACUGUCUUAGUAAGUCUGGUUUCUUGCACAACCUCCUUGGUUUUCUUAAUCUCCAUUUCUCUUUUGUUGAACUCAGUUUUCCUCUGAUUCUCAACAUUGAUCACUGGCUUCUUCUCCUUUCUUGUUGCAGGUUUCUCUUCAGGUUUCCAUUGCAGAGAUAUCAUUGAGCUUGGGGCUUCAGCAUAUCCUGAUCCCUCAUAGUCGGUUUUAGCUUCUUGUUCAGACAAAACAUUCAUCGCCUUCUUGCUUAAUGGCAUAUGAAGGUGAAAGCUUUUCUUUGCCAUUUUCACUUCUGCAAUCUUCUUUCCAGCUUGAUCCAGAAUGAUGCAGCUUCUGUGUUUGAAGGUAACAAUGUAUCCAUUCUCAAUCAUUUGAGUAACACUUAGGAGAUUUUUAGCAAUGUUAGGCACUAGAAGCACAUUUCUGAUUAUCCUUUUGCCUUUAGUAGUCAUCACUUCAAUGUCUCCUUUUCCUUUGGUUAUCAAUGCAGUUCCAUCACCAACUCUGAUUGGUACUCUAAAGCUUGUAUCAAGUCUCUUGAAUAGCUUCUCAUUGGGUGUCAUGUGAUUGGUGCAGCCACUAUCAAUGAGCCAAAUGCUUUCUUCGGGUAUCUUCUCUUCCUCUUGUCUUGCUGAGAACAUGUGGUACUCUUCUUCUUCCUGAGUCGCUUGAGCUUGUUCAGCUCUUCUAUUUCUGCAGUCCUUGGACAGAUGACCUACUUUGCUGCAGGUGAAGCAGCUUCUUGUGUCUCUGUUCCUGUUGAACUCAGGUCUACCUUUUCCAUUCUUGAAGUAACACACUUCUUCAUUGUGUGUAUCUCUUUUACAGAAUCCACACCAUCUCUUUUCUCUGUAGCUUGACUGACUUGAGUUGCCUCUUUCAUUGUUCUCGAUUUUCAGGUUUUUGAAUCGAGCAUGAAAUGCUCCUUCACCAUUAUCUUCAUCUGGGAAGUACUUCUUCUCAUGUGCUUCAAGGGACCCUAUCAGCUCCGCAUAAGUAACUGUAUAGAGAUCCUUAUUUUCUUCUAUUAAUGAGGCUAGACCAGCAUAACUCUUUGGCAUAGAAGCUAACACCUUAACUACCAGGUCAAAGUUUGAUCUUUCUCCUCCUAAAGCUCUCAUUUGAUUUGCUAUAGCUUGUAUCCUAUCAGAAUAGGCUUUAACUUUCUCCCCUUCUUUCAUUUUCAAGUUUUCAAACUCUUUUCUAAGAGAUUGCAAUCUAACCAUUUUUACUUUUUCAUUACCUUGAUAGGAAUGCUCCAGAAGAUCCCAAGCCUCUUUUACAGUUGUUGCAGAGAGGAUUUUGUCAAAGAUAGUAUCGGCUACAGCAUAUUGGAUGAUUUGGAGUGCAGCUGUAUCUUUGGCUUUGAGAGUCUUCAGGUUUGUUGUCUCCUUUGAUUUGUCAGCUCCUGGUGUUUCUGGUGACUUCGAAGACAUGUCUGGUCUUGACAAUCUCCCAUAACUCCUUAUUCUUCAGAGUUGUUCUCAUUCUUGCAGCCCAGAACUCAUAGUUCUGGCCAUCAAAUACAGCCACCGAUUGAGAUGUCUGUAGGUUUAUCGCCAUUUGAUCUUUCUUGUUCUUCCUUUCUUCUGGUUUCUUCUGAUUUCUGCUUCUUGGUUUUCUUGUAACAGGUCACACAGACAACUAUAGCUCUGAUACCAUGUUGAACUUCACUCUUUUAAGAUAUGUUUUCUUUCACUCUCUUUCUUUCAAGAUCGAUAUUUCUUCUUAACAUUCAUCUUUUUCAUUCAUUUCUCUUAUCUUCAUUACAUUGCACUCUCUUCAUACAUAUAGGUGAUAUCCUCUAACUACUCUUACUAACUCUCAUCAUUACUACACCUCAACUCUAGGACUUUAGACUCUCUUACACAACUGUUCUAACUUAGACUUCUAACAACUCUCAUUACUACUUUAGCUACUCAUUCUUAGAAUUAAUGAUAACAAGUCCUACACUUACACACAAACUCUUAUUCCUGUGUUCUUUUGGGCUUUGUGCAGAUCCGCAGGCCCAUUGACUAACCUUAGCAGCCCAACUUCUUCCUUUGACUAAUCUUCAAUUUGACUUUUCUCUUCUCCUUCUUCCUUUCCAAAAACACGAUCAGCUCCUUCUUCAAUUCUUCUUCUGAUUGCUUGUUGCUGGUUGAUGCUUCUUGUCUUCUUUUCUUUUUGC